rnacentral:rRNA from 1 species
UGGGGAAUAUUGCACAAUGGGGGAAACCCUGAUGCAGCGACGCCGCGUGAACGAAGAAGGUAUUCGUAUCGUAAAGUUCUGUCCUAUGGGAAGAUAAUGACAGUACUAUAGAAGAAAGCUCCGGCUAAAUACGUGCCAGCAGCCGCGGUAAUACGUAUGGAGCGAGCGUUGUCCGGAAUUAUUGGGCGUAAAGGGUACGCAGGCGGUUUAAUAAGUCGAAUGUUAAAGAUCGGGGCUCAACCCCGCAAAGCAUUGGAAACUGAUAAACUUGAGUAGUGGAGAAGAAAGUGGAAUUCCUAGUGUAGUGGUGAAAUACGUAGAUAUUAGGAGGAAUACCAGUAGCGAAGGCGACUUUCUAGACACAAACUGACGCUGAGGUACGAAAGCGUGGGGAGCAAACAGG